UUCCGGUUGGAGCGAGCGGCCGCAUCUACACUUCGGUCCGCAGGGCCGACAGACAAGUUCCUGACUUUUCCUUACUGAAUAAAGGGGAAAAGGCCAUUCUUGAACACGGGAGAAUAUGGCAGUACGUCCAACCCGGCCUCACAACCGCAGACCACGUGUAACCACGCCAGCCCAGGACGUCCCUUCCAGCUUCUUCACCUGCGGGAUCAUCUGAGACCAGCCAUCCAGACAGCUGAUGAAACUGAAGAGUAUUUGUGUCUGUAAUAAAACUCAUUCUGAUUGGCUGGGCCUAGCUCUUAAGGGGGGGGCUAUGCAGGCCCACCCAUGGAUGCCACCCUGCCCAGUCAUGUGAAAUUCAUAGAUUAGGGCCUAAUGAAUGUAUUUCGAUUGACUGAUUUCCUUCUAUGAACUGUAACUCAGUAAAAUAGUUGAAAUUGUUCUAUGUUGCGUUUAUGUUUUUGUUCAGUAUACAUUUUUGUUCAACACAUUCAGCAGAAAAUAGCUUCAUUUUCAUCAGAUGAUAACAGAAGUACAAUGCUAUUUGUCUGGCAGCCUCACAAGUAAAUGAGUUUACAAUGAAAAAGCAAGGUAUUUUGGGCAAAAAAAGGAUGCAUUGCCAUCAUAUUUCUAAUGUUUAUCGUAAACAGAAUGUAUCCAGCUACAUUUCCUAAAGUUUUGCUUAAAGUCAAUCUUGCAUUAUACCGUAAAAAAUAGUCUACAUGGAAAAGUACCAGAGAAAACUAGUCUAUAUGGAAAACCAACAGAGAAAAAUAGUCUAUAUGGAAAAGUACCAGAGAAAGAAAAGUAGCUACACAUUAGUCAGAGCUCUGUCAUCCGAGUGGAGAAGUGCAACUGAAGCACAAAAUGUGUCUGAUGCCGAGCAGAAAUGACAAUAAGAAGCACUUUAGAUCUGCAUCUUCAAAACGCAGCAAGAUAUUUCUUAUGUGUUUAAUAUAUUUGUCUGCGUGUAAAUCGCAGCAUUCUGCAUUAAUGCGUCCCAUUAACUUGCUAGUUAUCUCAGUAAGUGGCUGAAUUCAUAAGGAGACGGAGCAUCAUAUCGUGUCAUCUAUCUGCCGUGUUUGAGAAAUCUGUACAACUGCCUGCUAUCUUGAUUUUAUGGUGUUUUUUUCUCCUCUCCGUUCUUGGCCCGUCUGCUAUUGCCCCAUCUUCUUGCCCCAUCUUCUUUGAGCAGAGCAGGCAGGACUGUUGCCCUAGCGACUCCAGACUCCACACAGACACAGCAUGUACCACGAGUGAAAAAUCUAUGUUAACCUCUUUCAGUUCAUAUGACUUCUAAUGUGUUGAAGGAUCUCUUGAAGUUUAUGCUUGUGUGUGUGGGUGUGCAACCACACACCCUCUGGGCAGACAGCAAAACGUGUUUGCUUGACCCCAAUCAGGAAACUGUUGAUUUUCAGAGAAACUGAACUGAUUUCCUGUUGUUUUGAGAUCUCACUUAAAGAGUAGAAUAACUAGCUGUUGUUUUGAGAUCUCACUAGAAGAGUAGAAUAACUAGCUGUUGUUUUGAGAUCUCACUAGAAGAGUAGAAUAACUAGCUGUUGUUUUGAGAUCUCACUAGAAGAGUAGAAUAACUAGCUGUUGUUUUGAGAUCUCACUAGAAGAGUAGAAUAACUAGCUGUUGUUUUGAGAUCUCACUAGAAGAGUAGAAUAACUAGCUGUUGUUUUGAGAUCUCACUAGAAGAGUAGAAUAACUAGCUGUUGUUUUGAGAUCUCACUAGAAGAGUAGAAUAACUAGUUGUUGUUUUGAGAUCUCACUAGAAGAGUAGAAUAACUAGCUGUUGUUUUGAGAUCUCACUAGAAGAGUAUCCAAUUUGUAAGUCGCUCUGGAUAAGAGCGUCUGCUAAAUGACUUAAAUGUAAUGUAAAUGUAGAAUAACUAGCUGUUGUUUUGAGAUCUCACUAGAAGAGUAGAAUAACUAGCUGUUGUUUUGAGAUCUCAAUGGAAGAGUAGAAUAACUAGCUGUUGCUACAGAACGAGACGACCAAUUUACAGUUAGUCUGCACCUUCUACCAUAGUUUAGUCUCAUUCACCACACAUGAACACAUACCAAGAUGUUUUGUGUGUGCUUGUGUAAAAUAGUUUGACUAUAUAAGUCUUCUGUACUCAUUGUGUCAUCGAGCUCUCAGCCUUACACUUCAGAGUGCAUGACUGACCAGCUUCAUUAUUGCAAUUCUUAUUAAUAAAGAUUGAUUGUUUGAAGAAAUAACAAAGUCUCUCGCAAUUGGUUAGAAUU